rnacentral:rRNA from 1 species
AACAGGGAUUGCCCCAGUAACGGCGAGUGAAGCGGCAAGAGCUCAGAUUUGAAAUCCGGCGCCCCCCGGGGGCGCCCGAGUUGUAAUGCAGAGGGACCUCCUGGCGCGGCGCCGUCCGAGUUCCCUGGAACGGGACGCCUCAGAGGGUGAGAGCCCCGUACGGUCGGACGCCCAGCCUGUGUGGAGCCCCUUCGGCGAGUCGAGUAGUUUGGGAAUGCUGCUCAAAAGGGAGGUAUACGCCUUCUAAAGCUAAAUACCGGCCAGAGACCGAUAGCGCACAAGUAGAGUGAUCGAAAGAUGAAAAGCACUUUGAAAAGAGGGUUAAACAGUACGUGAAAUUGUUGAAAGGGAAGCGCUCGCGGCCAGACUCGGGCCCGGCGGAUCAUCCGGCGCUCGCGCCGGUGCACUCCGCCGGGCUCCGGGCCAGCAUCGGCCCGGGCGGGGGACAAAGGCGCCGGGAACGUGGCUCCCCAGGGAGUGUUAUAGCCCGGCGCGCAACGCCCCGCGGCGGGCCGAGGUUCGCGUCCGCAAGGAUGCUGGCGUAAUGGCCACCAGCGACCCGUCUUGAAACACGGACCAAGGAGUCGUCUUCGCAUGCGAGUGUUCGGGCGUCAAACCCGUGCGCGCAAUGAAAGUGAACGCUGGUGGGAGCCCCUCGCGGGGCGCCGCCGACCGAUCCUGAAGUUCACGGAUGGAUUUGAGUAGCAUGCGGGGCCGGACCCGAAAGAAGGUGAACUACCUGUGUAGGGUGAAGCCAGAGGAAACUCUGGUGGAGGCUCGCAGCGGUUCUGACGUGCAAAUCGAUCGUCAAACAUGGGCAUGGGGGCGAAAGACUAAU